GAUGAACGCUAGCGGGAGGCCUAACACAUGCAAGCCGAGCGGUAGAGUCUCUUCGGAGACUUGAGAGCGGCGCACGGGUGCGGAACACGUGUGCAACCUGCCUUUAUCUGGGGGAUAGCCUUUCGAAAGGAAGAUUAAUACCCCAUAAUAUACUGGAUGGCAUCAUCUGGUAUUGAAAACUCCGGUGGAUAGAGAUGGGCACGCGCAAGAUUAGAUAGUUGGUGAGGUAACGGCUCACCAAGUCAGCGAUCUUUAGGGGGCCUGAGAGGGUGAUCCCCCACACUGGUACUGAGACACGGACCAGACUCCUACGGGAGGCAGCAGUGAGGAAUAUUGGACAAUGGGUGAGAGCCUGAUCCAGCCAUCCCGCGUGAAGGACGACGGCCCUAUGGGUUGUAAACUUCUUUUGUAUAGGGAUAAACCUAGAUACGUGUAUCUAGCUGAAGGUACUAUACGAAUAAGCACCGGCUAACUCCGU
rnacentral:rRNA from 1 species